UUGAAGUUUAAUCACUUCUUUUGGUCUCUUUUUGCUUCUUGGUGCUUUUGCCUCCAUGGGAGAAGGCUCGGAGCUCAAUUUGAGGCUUGUUGGAGGAGAGAUUUUCAACCUUAGUUGAUUCCUAGCCUUGUUUGGAGCUUUUCUUGAGGUUAGUACCUUGUUUUCCCCUUUUGAUCCAUGUUUUGAUGGAUUUGCUUGAUGAAACCCUAGAAUGUGAGAUUUAGGAUUUAUUUUGGGGAUUUUUGAUUAGAGGCUUUUGGAACUUAAUUGAUAGGUGUAGAAUCUUCAUUUGGGUUGGAUUAGAGGGGUUCUAACUCUCAUCUGGAGAUUGAGAGAGAUUUCCACCGUUCAAGGUGAGUUUUUGCCUUUUUCUCGAGACGGUUAAUGUUUGAACUUAGGGGUGUUCAUUCGACGCGUUUAACUCUCUUAGUUUUACCUUUAGGGAGCUAGGAGUCUAGUGGACAUCUUCUUUUGCGCGAACGAAGGGUUCCAAGGAGCUCUUGGUGGGUUUGGCCUCACCGAAAUGAGAUAAAUUCCACCUAUGAUGGUUUUACUUGUCGUAAAAUGAAACUUCAUGCACAUUCAUGCUAGAUAGAAUAUUUAUGAAUUUUAGAAUACUUAAAAGGCAUAUGUCAUGUAUCAUGAGUUUUGAUCUCUAUGUAGUAGAGGAUUAUGUGCAUAGUACUCAUGUUAGUAUAUGGUAGUCUCAUGAUAUGUUGAAACUAUGUUAUUGGUAGUUAAAUGACAAGCAUUUACUUAUUACGAAUGAUGGACAUAUGCUAGGUAUAGUAGAAAACCCAAUGUCAUAAAGUGGCAUUAGACUUGGAAUAUAUGUAUAUGGACUUGGAAUAUAAUAUGCUUGGACAUAGUAAAACAUAACGUCAUGAAGUGGCAUUAGUCUUAGAGUAUGAUUGGACAUAGUAAGUCAUAAUGUCAUAAAGGGAUAUUGGACUUAAUGAAUGGUUAAACCUUCACAUUGAGGCAUAGAACUAGACCUUGGAUUGCUAGUGAUUAUUACCAUGUCAGAGACAUGAUGACCGGGUUCUUGAGAUGACGACUAUGCUUGCUUCCCAUUUGUGCUCAUUCGUACAUGCUUGUGAGGGUCACUCCCUAUAAGCUGGCACUCCGGAGUUAGCCUACGCGACAUAUGCUCG
rnacentral:lncRNA from 1 species